CGUCGUCCCACAACUGAAACACAGGAGAUUGAUUAUGGCUGCGGAUUGUUUGAUGAUUGUGAACACAAGGUGGCGUGCUGAGGAUAAUUAUUUUUAGCAGUGUCACUUGGAGAAUAUUAGCCAAAGUCUUUAGACACAGGCUGAGAGAAAAUAUUACGCCAGUACCACGAUGAGGAUAAGUAAUAUUCGUUUAACCAUUGAAGACGGAUUUUCAACAGAAAAAAAGGAAUAUAAAUAGGAAUCAAAUCUGGCUCUGCCAAUUUUUAGAUGCUAAUGAUUUAAAUCGCCCGAUUUUAUACUGCUUGCUCCUAUUAUUAGCGAGCUCUCUCGUUGGAAGUGUUUUCAUAAAAAAAAAUGCUCCCUCGUUAUUUCGUAGGUGAAUGUCCAAAAACAUCACGUUGGACUCAUUAUUUUCACCACUCGAGUGAAGAAUACCCCUCACCUAGAAUGACAUGAGUGUUGACUGCUAUGCAGGAUCAGCUGGGUAUGACGAUCAUUUUUUGCUCUUUUUGGUUGGAUUCUUCUGGGGUGUUGAUGGCCUUCCAGUCUGCGUCGCAAUCAUACCGCCGUACUGA